AAAGGUGUGCUAAUACCGCAUAAUCUCUCAGGAGAAAAGCAGGGGAUCGCAAGACCUUGCGCUUUAGGAGCGGCCGAUGCCUGAUUAGCUUGUUGGUAAGGUAAAAGCUUACCAAGGCUUCAAUCAGUAGCUGGUCUGAGAGGACGACCAGCCACACUGGGACUGAGAUACGGCCCAGACUCCUACGGGAGGCAGCAGUGGGGAAUUUUGGACAAUGGGGGAAACCCUGAUCCAGCCAUGCCGCGUGAGUGAAGAAGGCCUUCGGGUUGUAAAGCUCUUUCAGCCGGAACGAAACGGUUACGAUUAAUACUUGUAAUUAAUGACGGUACCGGCAGAAGAAGCACCGGCUAACUACGUGCCAGCAGCCGCGGUAAUACGUAGGGUGCGAGCGUUAAUCGGAAUUACUGGGCGUAAAGGGUGCGCAGGUGGUUUUGUAAGUCAGAUGUGAAAUCCCCGGGCUUAACCUGGGAACUGCGUUUGAAACUACAAGGCUAGAGUAUGGCAGAGGGGGGUGGAAUUCCGCGUGUAGCAGUGAAAUGCGUAGAUAUGUGGAGGAACACCGAUGGCGAAGGCAGCCCCCUGGGUCAAUACUGACGCUGAGGCACGAAAGCAUGGGGAGCAAACAGGAUUAGAUACCCUGGUAGUCCAUGCCCUAAACGAUGUCAACUAGUUGUCGGGCCUUUACGGGCUUGGUAACGUAGCUAACGCGUGAAGUUGACCGCCUGGGGAGUACGAUCGCAAGAUUAAAACUCAAAUGAAUUGACGGGGACCCGCACAAGCGGUGGAUUAUGUGGAUUAAUUCGAUGCAACGCGAAAAACCUUACCUACCCUUGACAUGUAUCGAAGCCCGCAGAAAAGCGGAGGUGCCCGAAAGGGAACGAUAACACAGGUGCUGCAUGGCUGUCGUCAGCUCGUGUCGUGAGAUGUUGGGUUAAGUCCCGCAACGAGCGCAACCCUUGUCAUUAAUUGCCAUCAUUUAGUUGGGCACUUUAAUGAGACUGCCGGUGACAAACCGGAGGAAGGUGGGGAUGACGUCAAGUCCUCAUGGCCCUUA
rnacentral:rRNA from 1 species